AGCUAUAAAAUGUUAAAAAAGAUUCCACACCUGUAACGACUACUUUUACAAUCAUUGCCAACGUUCAUUUCAUUUCUCCUCCUCGACUCUCUCUCUCUCUCUCUCUCUCUCUCUCUCAUAGCCUAGCUAGCUCUCGCAAAAAUGAACGAGUCACACUCCGAGUUACCCUUUAACACCACCACCAACUACAAUAGCAACAAUAGUGGUGUUGACAUUCCAACCGAGCUCGUGAGUGAAGAAGAAAUGGCUUCCAUUGAAGCUGCCUUAGCCUCCGCUAGCUCUUAUCUAUCUUCCUCUACAGUCGCUGAGCUCGUUAGCGAAGAAGAAAUGGCUUCCAUUGAAGCUGCCUUAGCAUCCACAUGCACUUUAACCUCUUCCUCUACAGCCUCUGUGCUCGUGAGCGAAGAAGAAAUGGCUUCCAUUGAAGCUUCCUUGGCCUCUCCUCGCUCUUCACUCUCUUCCUCUGCAGUCCCUGCAAUUUGUUCAACCUCUCAGUCUCAGUCUCACUCUCAGUAUGAGUUCCAGAGAAACGCGAGGUCUAUUCAGUCAAUCACCCUCCGAGCCAAAAGGAGGUUCUCGUUUUGUACAGAACCCUCCGAUAUUGAAGAUUUGGGAAGCCUUAGGAGUAACCAGAAGAAGAAGAGCAGAGUGGCUGGCUCGUUUUUCCACCGCUUUAGGAACAAGACUGGCUUGUUUGUCAGAGAUAUCACUGCAACGGAAUGGUGUGAAAAACAAAUGGAGUUUCGUCUUCUCUUUGGCCAGAAAAAGAAUACUGAGGCUAUGAAAAUAGGUCGAGCUCGCCAUGCAAAACUUGAAGAAGAGGUUGUAAAAAAAGUGGAUCUUCAUGUCAAAUCAGUUGAGGAUGCAUGGGCUGUGAAGCUUACGAAUUUUAUAAUUGGUGCAAAUCAAUUAUUGCUUGACGGAUUAACACGAGAGCUGCCACUAAUAGGCUUUGCAGAAGGUGUCUGGAUGGUGGGAAUGGUUGAUGAGGUUCAAAUGCCAGUAACUGAAACUGAUAGAAACCCGAUCUUAGUUGACAUCAAGACUCGUGUGCAAGAUACACUUCCUGCAGAACCACAGAGAAGAAAUGGAAGGCUUCAGUUAAUGUGCUACAAGUAUCUGUGGGACAAUUUAGUAGCUGAUAGCUUCCCCUCAAAACAGUUUUUGAUUUCUUUUCCUUGGAUCCAUAUUAUAUCUUAUCCAAAGAAAUCAGAGAUAACACAGCUAAGUCAGGGUUCCCUGUGAUGACCCUUGAUGAUGUGGUGAGAUGUUAUAGAAAUAUAUGUAGCAAGCUGUCCCCUGCUAAACAUGAGCUGUUAUUGAGAUAUGAAUACCAAAAAGAUAAUUCAGUGCUUGGUGAAGAUCGGUUUGCAUAUGACUCUGAUUGGCUCAAGAGUCAAAUUAUGAGCUGCCUUGAGUUUUGGCAGGGAGAGCGAGAAGCCAAUUGCACUCCAAAGGAAGAGCGCUGGAAAUGCUGGUUUUGUGAAUUUUCUUGUGUCUGUCCUACUAACACUAACCCCGAUAAUACACAAGGCCCUAUUACUGACAAUCCAAAUAGUACACCAAGCUAGAGAAGGCGCUGACCUUCUCCUACAUUGCUUUGAUUAGCAUCCUCAAUAAUGUUGCAGUAAGCAGAUCAUGCAACCUUUCAGGAAAGAGGCUACAGUUUUAUUCAGGCUUCUUUGCCGUAUAUGCUGACCAGAGCCAUAUGGGCUAGCUAUUGGGUCUGUUGUUAGGGAUGUGCUAUAAUUAUGUAUUAUAUGUCUUAUUUAUGCAUCAAAUGUAUCUGUUGUAGGUGAUGAUUCAUUGUUGUAAAAUUGAUUAGCUGAUUGUUAACUUUUCAUUAUCAUAUACAUCUCUCUCUCUUUUUCGUGUGGGUGUGUGACUGUGUCCUCAUAGGUGAUGUGUGCAAGCAUAAGCGUGCAUAUUGUGGUUGUCAUUUGACUCGUACAAAGUUGAAGCUUGGCCUGCAUUCAGAAAUAGCCCCUUGAAUUUGCAAUGUAAUGUAAUUAUCGUUGAUGCUUUCCUAGGGAGAGCUAAUAAACUGCAAGACGUAUUUUCAUUUUAGUCAUUGUAGCUAUUUGGGAAUGUGAACUCCGAAAACCAGAGGGAGAAUUAUUUGUUGGUAUAGAGUAAACAUGGGUGUGCAUUUGGGAA